rnacentral:rRNA from 1 species
UACAUGUGGGGCAAGCGUUGUUCGGAAUUACUGGGCAUAAAGGGUGCGUAGGCGGCUUGAUAAGUCAGUGGUGAAAUCGUCCGGCCCAACCGGACACGUGCCAAUGAUACUGUCGAGCUAGAGUGCGUGAGGGGUGGGGGGAACGAGCAGUGUAGCGGUGAAAUGCGUAGAUAUUGCUCGGAAGGCCAAAGCCGAAGGGGACCCCACUGGUACGCAACUGACGCUGAGGCACGAAAGCGUGGGGAGCAAACAGG